GACGAGGGGUCCUAGCGUUGUUCGGAAUCACUGGGCGUAAAGCGUAUGUAGGCGGCUUUUUCAAGUCAGGUGUGAAAUCCCAUGGCUUAACCAUGGAACUGCAUUUGAAACUGUAAAGCUUGAGUAUUGGAGAGGAUGGUAGAAUUCCUGGUGUAGUGGUGAAAAUACGUAGAUAUCAGGAGGAAUACCGGUGGCGAAGGCGCUCUGCAAAUACUGACGCUGAGAUACGAAAAGUGUGGGGGAUCAAAACAGG
rnacentral:rRNA from 1 species